AAGUCACCGCUUCUCCAGCCGCCACCUCUUCACUUCCUCAUAUGCUCAGGAAUGAUCCGGUGGAGCAGCUCAACAGGGAGGCCUUCCAGCUCUGCGGCACACCAUGCCCAUGGGUUGCAACAGGUAAGGGUACAGAAAAAGCGCAACGCUCCACUUUUCAGUUCAAAAUAAUCGCACAGUCUUAGCUUUGUUUAGAGAAAGAAACUAUGUAUAGUUGUUAUUUACCAGCUCCCGUGAAGUUGAACAAUGGUGGUAAUGGCCGUCCAUUUGGCAAGCAGGUCUUGGGAUCCCGCAGUUCAUCAAAGAAUGGAUGGGCACAUGCGUCAACCUGCAAAAAUGUCUUAGUCAGAUAGUACUCGGCUUUUUCAGGGAUUUCUCUUCUUCAUUCAUGAGAUUAGUAGGGCCGUGAUACAUAGAUGCCAGGACAACACAACACUCUUUUUAGAAGCAAUCAAAAUUGUACUUUUACGUUAGCUAGAGAAAAAUGUAUAAUUUAGCGUUGGCAAGCAAUGAAUCUGUGCUGACUUGUUCAUAGCUUGGCUCAAAUAGCCCAAGAAUAAAAUCAUUCUUACAGCUGUGCAGCGCAGAUUUGGUGAGUACUGAAGUAGCCUUGACACAAGAUCAACUGCUUCAGGUGGCAUGCGCUUGCCAAAAAGCUGUGUGCAGAAGAAAAUUAGGCAAGCAGGUUGCAGCGGUCUAGGCUAACUGAAUACAAAUAGAGAGGUUACUAACCUUGUGCCAGGGAUGAGCUUUUAUCUGAGGGAACUUAAAUUCAGAGUAGUUUGGGUUCAUGCACCUGAUUUCUUCCCUUGUUGGGGUACCCAAAAUCUAGAAUAGGGAGAAGGAAUGAUGACUUCAACCUACUGAUCUAAAUUACUGGACUUUAAUGGUUUGGCGGGAGAUACAAACCUUUAUAAUUUCAACCAACUGAUCAACGCCACUUUCUCCAGGAAACAGAGGCUGCAAUUUCCCCCAAAAAAAGAGAACUCAACAAAAAAAGUCCAGCUCAUGUACAGAAAAGAGUUUGUCGACAGGAAAGUAAUUAUCAACUUGAUUUUUUCCAUGAAAGUAUUAGCCCUCUAAAGUGAAGCAACUUCAAAUGAAUUUGAUAACAUAUGCGUAGUUUAACAGAGCUUGAUUUGUGCAAUAUUUGCUUAUCCAAAUAUGCUUCAAUGAUACGAUAUGAGGCCUUGUAGAUGUUACUGAUCACACUCUAAUGUUGAGAAACAAAGGAGUAAUACGAUCUAUAAUGAUAAACAAAAAAUUAUGUGUCCACAGAAAUCAAUUGGUCUUGUUCAAGUAAGCAUAACUUCAACUAAUGAACUUGGCUGCAGGAAAACUGAGCUUAUAGAAUGAGAUUCUAUACCUGACCAAUCAGAAGCUCAGCUACUACACAACCAACAGACCAGAUAUCAAUUGCUGUGGUAUACUCUGUAGCUCCAAAUAUUAGUUCAGGAGCCCUAUAAUACCGCGAGCAGAUGUAUGAGAUGUUUGGCUCUCCAGGGACCUGAAAUAAAGCCAUGUACUGUCAAAUACAUGCAAAAACACAAGACCAAGAAAAUAAGUGACAAAAGCAUACCAGUUUUUUAGCACUCCCGAAAUCACAAAGCUUAAGUUGAUGCGUAUGAGGAUUGACCUGGAAGAUCAAUCCAUUGCUGUAAGUUGAUCGUUAUUUAUGAUACAAUCAAAUAAUAUUUGGAAAUAUUGCAGGCAGUCAUCAUUGAAGGAGGGAAUCUGCAAGCAUGCAAUGACACUGCACGUUCAAGCAAGAAGAUAUGUCUAAUAAUAGUCUAAUGAACUUACCAACAGAUUUUGCGGCUUAAUAUCUCGAUG
rnacentral:lncRNA from 1 species